rnacentral:rRNA from 1 species
CCAGAGCUGUAUCUCCCUGCAGUUCUUGCCUGGUUUCCCACUGAAACUAAGCAGGGAUAAGCUUGGCCAGUACCUGGAUGGGAAACCUCCUGGGGAGAACUAAGGCUGCGUCUGGA